rnacentral:rRNA from 1 species
CCUACGGGAGGCAGCAGUGAGGAAUAUUGGUCAAUGGACGAGAGUCUGAACCAGCCAAGUCGCGUGAAGGAUGACUGCCCUAUGGGUUGUAAACUUCUUUUAUAAAGGAAUAAAACGAGGCACGUGUGCCUUUUUGCAUGUACUUUAUGAAUAAGGAUCGGCUAACUCCGUGCCCGCAGCCGCGGUAAUACGGAGGAUCCGAGCGUUAUCCGGAUUUAUUGGGUUUAAAGGGAGCGUAGAUGGGUUGUUAAGUCAGUUGUGAAAGUUUGCGGCUCAACCGUAAAAUGGCAAGUGAUACUGGCAGUCUUGAGUACAGUUGAGGUAGGCGGAAUUCGUGGUGUAGCGGUGAAAUGCUUAGAUAUCACGAAGAACCCCGAUUGCGAAGGCAGCUUACUAAACUGUGACUGACAUUGAUGCUCGAAAGUGUGGGUAUCAAACAGGAUUAGAUACCCGAGUAGUC